GUGCUUGCUUCAGCAGCACAUACACUAAAAUUGGAAUGAUACACAGAACAUUAGCGUGGCCCCUGUGCAAGGAUGACACACAAAUUCAUAAAGCAGUGUAUAUUUUU